AGGUGAAGUAGCUUUUGAUCUGCACACAUCUCUGUAUUAAUCUUGAAUUUCCUUACAUUACUAAUAAACAUUUUACAUAUGUCAAUAUUGGGGGGAAAUGUGUAAAUGCAGAUGAAUUAGCCCAAUGUUUCCUUUGGCAGUUAUUUUACAUUGUGAAAACACAAGUGGAUUUGGUGUUAAUUCUCUUUGCCAUGUGAAAGUGAUUUUUGGUGCUUCCACCAUACACUGUGAUUAGAAAAUGUUUGAAAUCUUUACACAUCAACAUCCUUACUGAUCACCUCAAGUCAAGUGGAUUUUAUUGUCAUUUCAGCCAUAUACAGUAAUACAGUACAUAGUGGAAACAAAAUAACGUCUCUCCAGAACCCAUGGUGCUACACAUAGGACUGUAUGAAGGAGCUGUUUCCAGCAAACAAGCAAAAUGUUGAGCACUUUGCCAAGUAUUUCAAUGACACUGACUUGAAAGAGCUCUCUGAUUUUCUAUUGGCCCAGCAGACUUUAGGAACACGCAAAGAGCUCCAGAAGGAGCUACAGGAGCGCCUCUCUCACAAAUGUCCCAUAAAAGAGAACUUUCCAUUAAACAAAAUGAUUUGAAUUUUGUCCAGGGUGAGGCACUGUCUAUGCUUGGGUGCAGGCAGUCACAGUGCAUUUUGUUACCGAAAAGGGACAUAUUGCAUUUCUCGCUGCAGUUCAGAGGACAAGAGGAGCAGCAGGGCAGUGUAUUUUCUGUCUGUGGAGAAUUCGCAAUUGUAUGCAUCGUCUGGCCCAAGCCUAAGUGCUUACCUUACCUUAAAUCUUUGAGCAAAAACUUGAUCUCUGCAUUUAGGUCUUCCACCGGGACAUAUUAUCCAAAGCACACUUUAAAAAAGCACCCAAGAACAGUUAAAGACAAAAUACUUCCCAGUUCUGAAGUGAACGAAGAGCUAAAUCUCAUUGAACACUUAUGAAUAGAUCUGAAAACCUGCAGUAGGGAAAAAAUCAACUUUUAAACCUAGGUGGAAUGGAGCAGUAUGCAAAGAGUGUGCAAAACUGUCGAGAGAUGAGGAAAGUUCUCCCAGCUUGAUUUGACCAACGGAUGUGCUACCAAAUAUUAAUAGAGCAAAGAGGAGACUUGUAGUUGCUCAGGGAAGCUUAUCCUGUUGUACCAAUUGGACAAAUCACACAGCCAAUGUUUCAGAGGAGAAACCCCUCUCUUUGUCAGGAUGUUUAAAGUCUACCAUAUAUCAAUUAUAGUGUGUCAAAAAUUAGUCAAUGUUCUGAGCAUAAUUCUGUAAUUUUAAUGGUGACGCAAGGAAACCUGGCUUUGUCAACUUCAUAUUUAUUUUGCACUAGAUUUUUUUUUUUAAUUUAAAUUUGAGAGCUACUUGCAAAAAGUAAAGAGGUGCCGAUAUUAUUGGCCAUUACUAUAGGAUGGAUUUAUGGCACCACAAAUCACACAAUUUCACAACCAUGCACAUAUACUGGAGCCACAAAUAGAUUAAUAACAACAGAUAUUGCAUAAUAUUGUCAUGAAUGCAGUUAUUGUGGCAAAGGAAUAGUUUCAAUCUUUGUAGUGUGGAAAUGCAGUCUCUAAGAAAAGGUUUACUUUGAGAAAGGUACACUGGAAACACUGGAAACCUGUAAUUCUAGAUUCUUCUAAUUCCAGUAAUAACCACAAGAUGGCAACAUGACAAACUACUGAACCUGUACGGCAAACAAUCCGAUUCAGCAGCAUUUACAUUAUUGUUAAUCACAGUACAGUGCCUUAUUCUUAGCUUACUUGUAUGAAAAUGAUUUGAGGGGUUUUCGAGGGAAGGCGUGUUAUGUGAAAUGCUCCAAUGUUUUCUGAAAAGUUUUAAUCCUGAAAAGGUUGACACAUCUUACAUGCAUUUAUUUUGUUCAUGUGUUUUAGAGUCAGUAAAUCUAAAGCUGUGUGACAUUUUCUUUUGUUCUACCAAACAAUCAGUGACAUCUAAAAGCACAGAUCUGAUAUGCACUACCUGUUUGGGAGCUGAACCUUCUCCUACAGUAUGUGAAGAAAAGAUUCAGACAACAAAACAUGGGAAAGCUAUAAGUGCAGGAUUCACUUUGUACAAGAAACACUUUUUUGCAAAUUUUAUUUUACAGAAAUUGGAGAAAGUGAAGGCAAAUGCCCUUUCCCCCAUGGUAGGCUGCUAGCCCACUACAUUCUUGGCUCCCCUGGGGGAUUGGCCAUGCCAGCUAAGUAGAAUGCAAACUUAAUUUACAAAAAAAAAGCCUAAUGUCUAAACAUCUCACACCCUUGAUCCUGCCACACCCAGUUACUGUAUGUCCAAACAUACUCCAAUUAGCCCGAAAAACCAGCCCACUUCCAACAAGCUUCAUUCUCAUUUGAUCCAGGUCCACACUGGAACUUGGUCGCUGACAGGACUCAUGCCUGACCCACCCUGAUAGUGCCAUUAAUUGUUAAACUAUAAUUCCAUCACUGAAUGAGUAGAAUAGCAUAAAAUGUAGAAAUGUAGAUCACAAGACACUGCUCAUAGCUACUCAUCUUGUACAGAUCUAUGGGUCUACAAAUUACAGUUAGAGCCUGGCUUGAAUAGUGCUAUGAAAAUGUAAUUCAAUAAGUGCAGCCCAUCAUGGAUUUUCGAAAUGUAACCUUGAUUUUAUACUUUUGGAAACCACUGCACAAAAUUCAGGAAUGCAUUAGUUGAGCUUUGAUAGAUUUGUCUUUGGAAUUGACAGCACACCAUGAGCACUAAGGGUAGGACUACACAGGCUUUUUCGACGCGAUGCGAAACAAAAGCAGGCGUCAAGUCGGAUGCAACAGAAAUAAGGUAAGUAAUGGCAUUGUCGGAUGGUGUUGCAGUAUUGAUCCGAUGUUCCACGACUGUCGGAUGCAGACACUGUGCACUGCAUCUGCAUCCGAUGGUCGUGUUGUGUCGGAUCAAUACUGCGACUUCAUCCGACAUUUGUAUAUCUUACCUUAUUUCCGUCUCAUCCAACUUGAUGCUUGCGUUUUUGCCCAGCACGUCGGAUCGCUCCAAAAACGCCCGUGCUAAGGCAGACAUUUAUUGUAGCUCAGCUGGACAAUCACAUCUUGAACAUACAGGUAUAUAUGAAGUUCACAGUUGAAAUGUACAUAUUUGAUAUGUAACACACAUGCCGUCCGUCCCAUUGCAGGACUGCAGUUUCCAAGACUGGGAGGCUAAAUACUGUGGCCUAUAGUGCAGUAACAACUAUGACUGUGUUUAAACCAAAAUAUUCCUGCACUAGUGCAAUUACCCAAAGCAUCCGAUCAGAUUGAUGCUUCCAUUUUUUAAUUUAGUAGUAGAAAAAUAUGAAUUGCCGAUGCUGCUAAUGGUAACUAUACUGGUCAAUCUAGCGCCAAUGUUAGUAAAUUAGCCCUAAUGUUUUACAAAUAUCACUCAGUUCUGCUAAUUUUCUCACCAUCCUAGGCAAUUGCCUUUGGU